AUUCCAGCUCCAAGAGCGUAUAUUAAAGUUGUUGCAGUUAAAAAGCUCGUAGUUGGAUUUCUGGUCUAAUGCGCCUGGCCCGCUGCCGUUAGGUAUGUGAGUGCCGGUGCGCGUUUACCAUCCUUCCAGAGAACACUUCUACCAUUUAUUUGGACGGAUGUUGUCUUCUGGAUCUUUUACUUUGAAAAAAUUAGAGUGUUUAAAGCAGGCCUUUGCUGUGAAUACAUUAGCAUGGAAUAAUAGAAUAGGACCUGUGUUCUAUUUUGUUGGUUUCUAGGACGUAGGUAAUGAUUAAUAGGGACAGUUGGGGGCAUUAGUAUUUAAGUGUCAGAGGUGAAAUUCUUGGAUUGCUUAGAGACUAACUUCUGCGAAAGCAUUUGCCAAGGAUGUUUUCAUUA
rnacentral:rRNA from 1 species